CCGGCACGGGUGAGUAACACGUAUCCAACCUGCCGUCUACUCUUGGACAGCCUUCUGAAGGAAGAUUAAUACAAGAUGGCAUCAUGAGUCCGCAUGUUCACAUGAUUAAAGGUAUUCCGGUAGACGAUGGGGAUGCGUUCCAUUAGAUAGUAGGCGGGGUAACGGCCCGCCUAGUCUUCGAUGGAUAGGGGUUCUGAGAGGAAGGUCCCCCACAUUGGAACUGAGACACGGUCCAA
rnacentral:rRNA from 1 species